UACGUAGGGUGCGAGCGUUGUCCGGAAUUAUUGGGCGUAAAGAGCUUGUAGGUGGUUUGUCGCGUCUGCUGUGAAAAUCCGGGGCUCAACCCCGGACUUGCAGUGGGUACGGGCAGACUAGAGUGUGGUAGGGGAGACUGGAAUUCCUGGUGUAGCGGUGAAAUGCGCAGAUAUCAGGAGGAACACCGAUGGCGAAGGCAGGUCUCUGGGCCACUACUGACGCUGAGAAGCGAAAGCAUGGGGAGCGAACAGGAUUAGAUACCCGGGUA
rnacentral:rRNA from 1 species